rnacentral:lncRNA from 1 species
AAUAUUGUUAAAUGCACUUUCUUCUGUGUCAAGUUGGACAGAAGGGACUUGUUUCUUUUCAGAUGGAACAUCCACUGGAAGAGAUUAAUGGAAUUUAUUGCUUUCCACAUGUGUAUUCCAGGACAGAGGGAUUAAAGGCUCAUGAUGGAGGCAAGUACUUUUAAAAAUGAUUGCACAGCUGACUAAAAUGGAUGACAGCUCAUUUCUGCAGAACACAAAUAAUGUCGAUAAUUAAUUACACUCCAGACUUCCAAACUAUAGAGCAGUUGUAACUGGAUGUAUAUUUUCCCUGCUACAGACUACAAAACAACAUUGUUAAAUGUAACAUUAUUUCUUUUUCUUCCUGUAUUUGGUUCUUUGCUUUGAUAUUAACCCUGUGCUGUGCUCAGCAUUCACAUCCUUCUACCAGAGUUAUCAACUGUCUUAUUUCUGAGCUUUACAUUAUACAUACAAAAUAAUUUUAAAAAAUGUUAAAACGUGAAUAUUAAAUGCAUCCUCUGUCAUCAAGAUUGUGGUUUACAUCUCUAGGACAAUGUAUCUAAUGUGAAUAAGUAAAAUUCAUCCUUAACUGUGAACGUAUCUACAUCUAAUCCUCUGCAUGUUGCAUUAAGUGGAAUGAAAUAUUACAUGUGGAAAAGAAGCAAAUGAAAAAAGAGAAAAGUUAGAGUUAUGAAGCACGCAUUUAAAAUAUUGAAUUGGCCUUGAUUUGAAAGUCUCAAGUAAAUUUUUGGCUUUUGUAAUGCCUUACCUGAACUAUUUUACUUAAUAGCUUUGAAGAUUUUAGUUUCUAGUUUAACUGUUGAUAGAUACUAUAUUGCUUAAGUCAAGGAUUAGAGAUACUUCCAGAAUUCCAUCUCCUUUGUAACAUUUUAUUUAAGAGAAGCCCUAAAAGCAAAGGGUUUAACAGAUAUAUUUAUUUUUAGUUUUUUUAUUUAUAUAAAUUAUAAUAAAUUUAUAUUUAUUUUUAUAUUUAUGUUUUAUUUUUGUAUAAAUAUUUUAUUAAUAUAUUAUGAUACUGCUCUCUAAAAUCCCUGGGAAAAUUCUUUGUGAGUUCAAAUAAGAGCUGAUGUGAAAUUUCACUUGGAUUUAGGCAUCCUUGAG